AGAGAGCUUCAAUGACUCAAAACAAGCAUCUGGGUGCGGAGUGCUUUUGCAAAAAUUGCUUAUUGAAGAUAUGUUGGUGUGUAGAGAAGUUGUUGAAGGAGUGCUUAGAGUAGCUGUGAUGUAGAUGGAGAUUGUGAAGAGGAGCAAGGUGAGUUUCAGAAAGGAGGAAGUAGCCAUGACAGCCGAUAUGAAGAAGGCAGAGUGAAUAGAUUCACUAUAUUUAAAAUGUUGAAGAUAAGAGAGUGGCUAAUCGCUGAUUGUUCUUAAAUAAUGUUUUGGGGGUGGAGGGGAACAAAAUUGCAUGGAGUUUGUGUGACUUAUAAUAUUGAAUUGCAUUGAUUUUAGUGACGGUGAUCUUUGAAAAUUGGGAGAUGAUUAUUUGACCGUGUCUCUAAAAUACUUGUUUACAUUUGCUUUGGGAUAAAAGCAAUUCAUAGAUGCAUAAUAUUUGUAUAUUCUUUUAAUUUUCACGGCAGGCUAGAGGGAGAGAGAGAGAUUCUAUAGCCAUGUUUGCCCUUGCCAGUCUUUGAAUGUACUUGAGAAGCGGCCAGUAUUAGAAGAAAUUUAGAAUGCAUUUAAAGUAUAUUGCCCAUUAAAAGUAUAUUGCCCGUCAUAUAAUAAGUAAAUAAAAUUAUAUCAUAUAUUAUAUAUUAAAUUUUUUUAUGAUUUUUUUGCUGCUUUCAUUUUUUUUAUUAAACUAUUUUAAACGAUAAAAUUGAUUGAAAACCUCAUUGUCAAUACUUUUAUCAAAGAUUCAAAAUAAUGAAUUUUAUCCAUCUAUUAAUUCAAACACUCGUAAAAUUACUUGUUAAAACAAUAUUUAAUAGAUCAAGGGCAUAAAUCAAUGUUGUUAUUGACAGUUUAUAUGCUUAAGGAUUAAACAAUUAUAAUUUGGUUUUUGUAGCACAAUUGAUUAUUUUAAGAUUUACUUGACAGCUAGUGGUGUUUACUAAACACCCUAUCACCCUUCUCUCGAAUGUGAAAAGGAUUUGUUGUUAAGGGUGUCAAAGGAAAGUGUCAGGCUGUAGAAAUAGCAAUCAAUGAGUCAGGAAUUAAGGAAAGGAAUCAAGAAAAUCAACCAAAAGAUCAGCCUUGACAGCAAGCUAAUAAAGUCAAGAUUUCCUCUGUCAAUAGCAAUCACGAUUUCUUCAAUUGUGGUUAAUUCUAUUAUAUUUUAAGAAUGCUCUUUAAUUCUCGAACGGCUAUAAUUUGUACUAUAUAAGGACCUCAACAUGCCUCAUUGUAAAUUCAUUCCAAUAUAUAAUACAAUUUCAAUUUCUUCCAAGUACCUGCAUUUUCCUUUCAUGGUAUCAGAGCAAUAGCUCCUGGCAGAAUAAUUAAAUAUUAUUAGUCAACCAUGGCUCUUGUGUCUUCAAAAACUACAUCAACCGUUUCAUAUCCAUAUCCUUCCACAUUGAAUAUAAGCAACUGUCUCUUUAAAACUUACCCAAAACAACUACAUGUUGUGGAAAACACAAAUAAGUGGGCUUAUUGAAAGCCAAGAUAUGGGAGGUUUCCUAGAUGGAACAUAUCUCGAACCUGCAGAAUUUGUCUUAAAAUCAUUUGUAAAAGUUGAAGCAUCUACAACAAAACAAGAAAAUGUGAUGAAUUAUGAUUACAUAAUGUGGAGGAGAUCGGAUCGACUUCUUCGCGGAUGGAUCGUGGGGACUCUAUUAGAGGAAGUCCUUGGACUUUCUGUGGGAUUAGAAACAUCAGCAGCAGUAUGGAAAGCUUUAUCAGAAUACUUUGCUCGAAACACCAAAGAUAAAGAGUUCUUUCUCAUGCAAAAGAUGCAUCUGCACAGCAAGCAAAAUUAUAAAACUAUCAAUGACUACAUCAGAGGCUUCAAAGAGAUAUGUGAUGAACUUGAUGCCAUUGGCAAAUCGAUGGAAGAUCAACAAAAGGUUUUUGGUCUUCUCAAAUGAUUAGGUAAGGGUUAUAGAUCUUUUGUUACAUCUAUGAUGAAACCUCCAAUACCUUCAUAUAAUGAUGUCAUUCAAUUACUUCAAAGUCAUGAGAACAUGAAAUCUUUUCAUUGCUCUGCAAGUGCUACUGAUGAACACUCUGCCUUUUUUGGUCAAAAUAAAAACGGUGGAAAACAUUUUAGAAACAAUAGGCAGGGACAAGUUCCUUUUAACAUGCAGAGACAAAAUCCCCUUAACAGACAAGGGCAAAAUUCCUUCAACUCAAAAGGAAGAGGCUUCCCUCAAGCAGUACAAAAACCUUCGGAAGCACCACAAAGGAAUAAUCAGAAUCCUUUUCAAAAUGAGCAAGACAAAGAUGAUUUAAUUUGUCAGAUUUGUCUUAAGCCUCGACACUCUGCUUUUGAAUGUUGGCACAUAUUCAAACAAGGCUAUCAGCCUAAUAAUGCAGCACAAGCUCUUGCCGCUAUGGCAAUAUCAGAAAAUGAGACUGAUGCAUGGUUUCCUGAUACAAGAGCUACUCAACAUAUGACUCAGAUAAUGGUAAGUUAAUUCAUUGUCAACCAUAUCAUGGAUCAGAUAAGAUAAUGGUAGGUAAUGGACAUAAAUUGAAAAUUACUCAUAUAGGAGAUAUUGUUUUGCACACAGAUAAAAACUCUGUCAAAUUAAAAAAUGUUUUAGUUGUUCCUGAGAUUAAAAAGACUCUUCUCUCUGUAAGUCAAUUAACCACUGAUUUUCCUUACAUGUUUGAAUUCACUGCAAAUAAUUUUGUGAUUAAGAACAGGAAACAAGGAAAGUGAUCAUAACAGGAACUAGGAAUGGUGGCCUCUAUAGCUUGGAACCAAAUCAAAACAUGACAUUUUACUUAUCAAGGUUUCAAGCAACUAGCGAUACCACAUGGCAUCAACGGCUUGGGCAUCCACAUAUGAAAAUAAUUAGUUAUUUAAAGCAUAAUAAGCUCAUUUCUGUAAAUGAGCAUGACAGGAAAAAAAUUUUAUGUGAAAGUUGCCAAUUAGGAAAAUCUUGUAGACUUCAUUUUCUUAAUAUUGAUGAACAUUGUUCGGAACCUUUUGGUAAAAUUCAUUGUGACUUAUGGGGUCCUGCUCUAGUUAAAUCAUUUCAAAAUUUUAAAUUUUAUGUUAUAUUUGUUGAUGAAUUCACUCGGUUUACUUGGUUUUUUCCUUUACGAAAAAAAAUCUAAUUUCUUUCAUUGCUUUAUUUCUUUUCAUAAAUUUUUGAAAAACCAGUUUGAGAAAAACAUCAAAGUUUUUCAAUCGGAUGGAGGAGGUGAGUUUGGAAGCAAAGAAUUUUAAGAAUACCUUUUAAAUCAUGGAAUCAAGUCACAGAAAUCAUGCCCAGGAACACCUCAGCAAAACGGUAUUGCUGAGAGAAAGUAUAAGAAUAUCACUGAGCUUGGACUUACUAUGUUGUUUCAUGCUGGAGUUCCUAAACGCUUUUGGGUGGAAGCAUUUUCUACUGCAAUAUGGCUAAUCAAUAGGUUACCUUCAGCCAUACUUGCCAUGAAAAGUCCUAUUGAGAAGUUAACCGGUAAGAAACCUGACUACUCUUCCUUAAGAGUGUUUGGCUCUAGAUGUUUUUCAUGUCUUAGAAGAAUAACUCAAAAUAAAUUUGAUCCAAAAUAUCUUCCUUGUGGGUUCCUUGGAUAUAAUGAAUGUUAUAAAGGUAAUAGAUGUUUUCACCCACCUACUGGAAAAUUGUAUUUGUCAAGAGAUGUUGUCUUUGAUGAAAAGACUUUCCCCUUCAUGAAGCCAGGUAUACUUUAUAGUAGUUGUGGUGAACACACAAAUCUAACAAGUUUCAAUGAGUGGAUUGUAGGAACUUUUACUACUGCAAGAAUUGGAAACAACUAUAACCAACCAUCUCCUCGAACAAACAUGGCAGUACCUAUAACAGAAAAUAGCCACAUGGUAGCGGAUAUCAACCAAAAUGAAAAUUAUGACCUUGAUAUCUCUACCACAAACAAUGAAGGAAGUGGAGGCCAAGAAUAUAGCAAUAUAAACAUGUUACAGACCCCUCACGAACUUGAUCCAACUAGCAAAGAUUUUGAGGCUACAAAAAUUUCAGCACCUCAACAUGACUAUGAUCAAGACACAAUGGCUCCUGAACAAGAGACCGAUGUUUCCCAUGAGUUUAAUCUAACUAGCAUUCAGCCUAACAAAGAUUCAGAAGCUGUUAACAUCUUAGCAUCUCAAAAUCAAACAGAUCAAGACACGAGACAAAAACAUACUCUCAAUUCCACUGUAAGUAUACAACCAUCUCACAAGAUGACAACAUGUGGCAAAGCAGGUAUAUAUAAAUGCAGCACCAAGUAUAGCCCUACUGAAUUUGUAUUACUUAGUUAUAAUGUGCCAAUAGAGCCUAAAGGCAUUAAAGAUGCUUUAUACCAUCCAGGAUGGUUGCAUGCUAUGAAAGAGGAAAUUUAUGCCCUGCAUCAAAAUAAAACAUGGAUAUUAAUUCCAAGAUCUAAUGACAUGAAUGUCAUAGGCUGUAAGUGAGUAUACAAAACAAAACUUAAAGCUGAUGGCACUUUAGAAAGACUAAAAGCUAGGCUAGUGGCCAAAGGCUUUAAUCAAAUUCCAGGAAUUGACUUCCUAGAAAUAUUUUCACCCGUUGUAAAACCUGCAACCAUUAGGAUAGUCUUAUUAAUUGCACAAUCCCACAAUUGGGACAUUCGACAAUUAGAUGUCAAAAAUGCAUUUUUACACGGCAAGCUCGAUAAACCAGUUUUCAUGGAGCAACUCCCUGGAUUUAUUGAUGAAAAAUAUCUGCACCAUGUUUGUGAACUUGACAAAGCUUUAUAUGGGCUAAAACAAGCACCGAGAGCAUGGUUUGAUAGGUUCAGUAUAUUCCUCUUAGCUUAUGGAUUUGUCUGUAGCACUGCUGACUCUUCAUUGUUUAUUUUUCGAAAAAAUCAUAGCAUUAUAUUUUUACUUGUUUAUGUUGAUGAUUUAAUUUUAACAAGAAGCAACCAUAUUCUUCUAAAUCAAUUUCACUGCUCACUUGGAAAGGAGUUUGCUAUGAACGAUCUUGGUUACAUUCAUUACUUUUUAGGUGUAGAAGUAGCUAAAUUUUCUCAUGGUCUUAUCUUGCAUCAAAGAAAAUAUGCUGCAGAUUUGCUUAAAAGAGCAAAAAUGCAUACUAGUAAACCAUUAUCUACUCAUAUGGUGCCUCACAAUCACCCCAUUGAUACAAGUUUAUUUUCUAAUCCUACCUUCUAUAGAAGCAUUGUAGGUGGAUUACAAUACUUGACAUUUACUAGGCCAGACAUUGCUUAUAGUGUUAAUUUUGUUUGCCAGCAAAUGCAUCAACCGAGCAAUUUUCAUUUUCAAUUAGUCAAAAGAAUUCUCCGAUAUGUCCAAGGAACUUUAGAUCAUGGUACUUGAUUACUUUCUCACACUAUAACUAAUUUGUAUACAUUUUCAUAUUCGGAUUGGGGUGGUUGUCCUCUAACAAGAAGAUCCACCACAGGAUUUUACAAUUUUUUAGGUCCCAAUUGUGUAUCCUGGUCAGCCAAGAAACAACCUACUAUUGCCCGAUCAAGUAUGGAAGCUGAGUAUCGUGCUAUGGCUUCAGCUGCUGCAGAACUCACAUGGAUCACCUAUCUUCUUAGUGACAUUGGCUUUCAGCUUCCUCAACCUCCAACACUAUUUAGUGAUAACAUGUCAGCUCUUUAUUUAACAGUCAAUCCAGUUCUUCAUGCUCGCACAAAACAUAUUGAGAUUGAUUAUCACUUUGUCCGCGAGAAAGUGGCUCAAGGGAAACUAAUCACCCAGUUUGUGAGUUCCAAAGUUCCAAAGAUCAACUAGCUAAUAUAUUUACAAAGCCUCUCUCCAGCACUGCCUUUCAUAAUUUAUGCACCAAACUUGGUAUUUGGACUCUACCACGACCAAGUUUGAGGGGGGAUGUUAAAGGAAAGUGUCAGGCUGUAGAAAUAGCAAUCAAUGAGUCAGGAAUCAAGGAAAGGAAUCAAGAAAAUCAGCCAAAAGAUCAGCCUUGACUGCAAGCUAAAGCCGAGAUUUCCUCUGUCAAUAGCAAUCACGAUUUCCUCAAUUGUGGUUAAUUCUAUUAUAUUUUAAGAAUGCUCUUUAAUUCUCGAAAGACUAUAAUUUGUACUAUAUAAGGACCUCAAUAUGCCUCAUUGUAAAUUCAUUCCAAUAUAUAAUACAAUUCCAAUUUCUUCUAAGUACCUGCAUUUUCCUUUCAAAGGGUAUUAAGUUACACCUCAAUUGUGUUAUCAGAAACUCUUUAUAUAUAUAUAUAAAUAAUGAUUAUUGUGAUGUUUAUGUGGAUAGUAUUAUUAUGAUUAUUGUGAUGUUUAUAUAAAUAAUGAUUACAUAACUCUUGUGAACCACACAAAAUUAUGAAUUUCGUAAUUUAUGUGAUUCAUAAGAGUUGUGCAAGUUACAUUGAAUGUAACUUAGUAUUUGUCUAGCAUUUAACGUUUAUUGAUAUACUUAUUUUGAAGUUUGAACCCUUUAUUGAACUAGCAGAGUCACAUGAAGCAGACAAUGAGAGAGCAACAUGCCAACAUCCAACAAGGAAGAUAUUUCAUUGGUCAAAAACAACAAAUAAAUUAAUGAGCGAUUCAUGGUUUGUGCGAAUGGUGGGCCGUGGCCCAUGGGGGCUUGUCAAUGAUGUAAAUUUUGCCUCUCUGCAAAAUUUUGGACGGGUAAAGGAGUUUAAGAGUACUCUUGGUACUUCUAAAAAAAAAAGAGUACUCUUAGUAGGUCCUAUCUAGGGAGCGCGGUCACAUGCGACUAAAUACAUCUCAAAUUAUCCUCUAAUAAAAAUUCGACACGCUCACAGUCGCGCACAAUAAGAUCCGGGACUGCACACACCAAAUCAUGCUCAUACUUUCAAUUCUAUCAAGCAAGCUUAGACCAAGCUCAAAGUAAUCCAUUUAGCAAUUUGGCCGAUUUUGGCAUUUGUUGAAUCUUGACUUUUGGACUUAACUGGAAUCUGAUGUGGCUGGUAACAUGAAAAAUCAUGCAAAAUGCUGUGUGAUUUUUUAGAUUCUGUGAACCCCAUAAACUUAUAUCUAUAGAUUACAACCAAAUCAAAAUUGUUAAAUUUAAAACAUUUCUAACAAGUUUUAGCAUUAAUUAUAGUUUAAUUAGUAAAAUAAACAAUUUUCCAAGAUUUGACCACCUAAGUUUAUAUUCCAAAAUAGAAAAAUCAUCAAUCCCAGCUUAAUUAAAACGAGUUUUUUUCUAAUCUUCAUGACUUAAGAUUUCAAUACGAAUGAUCUCUAUCUCACUUCUUGUUCAAGUGAAUUAUUCGAGGGAAUACCGAAGACUAGAGUAUAAAGAUUGUAGUAGAAAAGUCAAACAAUCUGUGUAUAAAAGUCAAAAGAAUAUUGCUACAUGCAAUCAUAAAAAUAGUUUUAUUUCUUCAACUUAAUUUCUUGUGUUUAAAAACUAAAAUUCUUCUAGAGUGCCAAUUGAAAAUCAACAUCAUGAUUCAUGAGAACUGGUGAUGCUAAUAAAUAAUAAGUUUCUUUUUUAAUUGAUAAUGCUGAUAAAUAAUACUUAAUUAAAUUUCAACACAUUUCUUUACAUGUUUUAGGAUGAACUCUAAUUCAAUUAGUAAACUAAAGGAUUUUCCAAGAUUUGACAACAUACAUUCAAAUUCCAUAUCGAAAAAUCGUCAAUCCCAAAUCAGAAAAUGAGCCUUUGCGAAUAUUCAAUUACUUAAAAUUAAGAUCACAUGAAUGAUCUCCCGCUUGCUUUUAAAGUGAAUUAUUGUUUGAAUGUCAUUGACAGAUUAUAAAGAUUGCUGUGGAAAUACAUACAAGUUGUCAUAUCUAUGUAUGAAGCAUUAUUCAAUCACCCACGAGGUGAAGCCGUGUAUGUGAAUCUAGAGUGCCAAGCAAGAACGAAACAUGAUGGGUCAACGAAACCUUAAAAUCAAUAUAUAAAUCAUAAAUACAAAUUCUUUAAGGCCAAACUCACGUCCAAAUAAAAAUUUCGUCCUAGAUCUUUCCCAUAAUGAAUAUGAUCAUCUUAUUUCAAUGUAUUUUGAAAAAUAUUUUUUGUGACGUGUAAAAUUGUUCUUUGAGAAAAUAGUUGUAAAUCAUUUUUUUCCCUCCAAGUAACUUUAUUACUAUUAUUAUUAUUGUUAUUAUUUUUUUGGCGUCAAUUUGCAAGUUGCAGCUAAUGGAUAACUUUCACUUUUUCCUUCAUUUUUUUCAGUAACUCAAAAUCAAAUAAAACCAAAGAGUGAGUAAUUUUAAAAUCUCUCAGUAGCAACUUGACCCUUCUUCUGAAAAUUCACGAGACAAAGUCGUUUUGCGCUGCAUCUUUUGUCCUGGCAACUACCAAAUUCUCACAUGUUCAGAUUCUUUAUACAUUUAUUUACACACUUGCUUUAUCCAUAUAUAUCCGUCUUCUUUACCCGACCACGCGUAAUUGUACAAUUAAUUAUUCUUUUGAUUUAAAUAACAAAAGGACCAAAAGCACUACUGUGAUUAUAAUCCAAACAAAGAACUCUUUAAUCAAGAAUUAAGAGUGUUAAAUUUUUGGUCACCUACUGAACACUGUCAGUCCUGAGAGUAUUUAAUGUCGUACAAAAAUGAGAUGGUGAUGGCGGCUACCAGAAUAAUUUCACUGUGUAAACGAGUCUAUGUUAAUUCUAUUGAUUCUGAAUACAAGAAUCAUUGCACACGUCCAGGGGCUUUCUAACCAUUAUCUGGCAAUUCUGAAAGAUAGUUGCCGCAUCGCCAAAUAUGAAAUCGACUGUGCCUGUAAUUAAGCAACUCCUGUAAAAUUGACGGUGAGUUUGUGCCCACACUGCGUUUUUGUAGCCCUCAAAGCGGCAGUUGUGAAAUGUUGCACGGUCGGAUUGGACCCUAGCAGCCACUGCCUCACCGUUUUCUGGACCCGCAAUGUUUCUGAAUCCCAUUGAUUUAGCAAAUAACCCUUCUCCGAUAGCCACUGCAAAAGCAAUCAACAAUUAAGCAAGUUCGUAAAAUAGAUCCUAGUGCUAGUGAUGGAACCAGUAUUUUGGAUAUCGGUUAUGAUGGAGAAGAACUACAAAUUUGGGGAGACCGCACAACUAAAACGUAAGAUUUACACUGAAUAUGAGCUAAAGUUCGAUUAGGACCCUUGACAUAAAACAAACCCAUUCUCUAAUGUUUUAUGGACUUGCAGGGCCUAGACUCGGGUCUCAACACAGUUCCGGCGCCCCUGCCUGGUGCCGAAAUGUUAAUGUAACUAACGUACCAAAAGUUGCAGCAUCAUAGAUAUUGACUCCGUCUGCAACACUUUUGCGCCCCACAAUGAUGGACUUCUGAGAUCCUUCCCCAAUGAUUGUAAGAUUCACCAUACGCUUUGACACAGUCACACUCUCUUCGUAAAUUCCUGUGGCAACAAAGAUGACAAACCUACAGCGCAUUCAAAAUGGACGAACCAUUACGAAAAUGAAUUGUUUGACAUUGUUAGAAGCUCAAUUGAAUAUCAUAAUUAAUCAUACCGUCCUUCAUAUUUUUGAGGUACGGCUGCCAAUGCUUCAGAAAUUGUGUUGUAAAGUUUCCGGAGCCAUCUUUUGCCACUAUCAAGUGUGGUUCUAGUAGUGUCUGCUCUGAAACUAAUUUGUUGGACCAAGACCAACAAAUAAUCAAUCUUAAUCCCCCAAGAUCCACUUGACUUAGCCUUAAUCAAAGAACUAAUUACAAUCAACCAAUGCUACGUGGAACCACUUAUCGAAAUCAACAGAUAUCAAACCAAAAAAAAAAACAGAGAAACAAUCACACACCAACACAAAAAGGGUUAAGUGGUUCAGCCACCAAGUGACCUACAUCCACUGUGAAAGAUCUUUUACUGAUUCAGUGUUUACAAGAUACAAGAUACAAGAUGCCUGAGAAAACUAUCACACACUUCAGCAAUACAACAAUGAAAUGAAGACAACUUAUAUACACGCCUGAAUUGCUCUAGAAACAACCCCUAGAAACCAGCUCACUAGGCCUGGGUUUGUUUGUAACAAACCCAUAAAUUUCCCGCUUAUCUUAACAGCAUUAACAUCCGUUCGAACUAGCUUCAAUACACGUGUAGAAUCUUCACUCAAAACGCAGCCUUCUUCAGUCGUUUAGAAUAAGUAAAGCAUGUGCAAUAUCACGUGCUUAACUUAUUCAUUUGGCUUAUCUACCAGGCUUGUCAUACGGCUCACUUGUGUCACAUAACCGACAUAUCAUCCAGUCCUGAAACUCAAGACUGAUAUGUCAUAUUCAACUACAAAUAUAGAUUUUCAGUUCACUUCUCAACAUUCUCCACCUUGAACCAAAUCUGUUACUCAUCUUUUUCUCCAUCACCAUAUCCUCUGCAGCUUAGAUCCUGUAGACACCAGCUGAGUUCACACAGAACUCAAACUUGGCACAAGGUAAAUCUUUGGUUAACAUGUCUGCCACAUUGUCAUCAGUGUGUAUUUUCACCUAUUUUACCACUCCUUUUGACACUUCCAGCCUGACAAAAUGAAGCUUGAUGUCAAUGUGUUUAGUCUUCUCAUGGUGAAUUGUUCAAUUCACCAGCCCUUUCUACAAGCAUCCCAAGAUCACGCUUUUUGCCACCAACUUAAGAAACACAUCGAUUCAAUUCCUCCUUGGCGUCAUCUAUGGCUUUCUUACAAACUUUAAAUGCAGCUUCUGUUUCUAGGGCAUUAAAAUCAUUGGAUUCUACUUUCUUAAUGGCCUUAUCAAGCUCAACAAUAGUUGCUGCUAUUGAAGCCUUGAGAAAUUCUUUGGGUUCAUCAAUCGAAGGGUCUUUUUCGGCUGCAGCCGACAAAGUAUCAUUGCACGAAUUCUUGUAUGCGGUGCACCCACAUAUAGUUGAAAUCAUUUUUUGUGCACGCGAAAUCCCUUUCGGGACUCCAGAUGACGGUGAUGUUUUAGAAGAAUCCUCGCCAUUAUCUUGAGAAACAACUCCAAAAACUCCCGCAGCAAUCAAAAUGAUGAGAACAAAUGCAGAAAUGGCAGAAAUUGUUACUCGCUUUCGAAAUUUUCGUUGUCUUUCAGCCUUCAUGCGUUCUGAUAAAUGAUCAAAAUCUUGAAAUACCAUUAUUGUGACACGGGCAGAGAUCUCUCAGCCUUAACAUCCAAAGCAAAGAUAGAGCGACACGAAAAAAUGAAAAAUUAAAAAAAAUGCAAGACCAAGAACAAGAGAAAUGGACAGGAGAAUUUUCAGGUGUUAUGUUUAAAAGUCAGUUAAGGGAACUUGUCCGAAACCGGUGAUACAGUAUCUCUACUUUAUAACCGAUUUUCCCUCCUUACCUUGCCUUAAAAUUUUGCAAAAUCACUCUUAAAUCCGCACAACUAAUUAAAUAUAAACAAGUACCAUUAAGUAUCAAAUUUAUUCAGGAUUGGCUAUUAAUUAGAGGGGACACUAUGUGGAAUUACAUGUAGUGUAACAUAAUUUGUGCGAUUCUAUAUAUGGCGUGAUUUUGUUCAUUUUAGACUAGGUCUGUACUAUUUUGGUUGCCCUUCACAAAUUCAAAUAGGACUGCGCAUAAUUUCAGUCACUAGUGCUUUGAUCGAAGUUACCUCCAACUCACCCAUGCAGAAAUGUGAAAGCACAUUCUGAAUCUGAGUUCUCUGCUGGGACCUUGUAGCGUAGUGGGGCUCUGCACUUGACAAGCCAUGUUUAUGGUCACUUACGGUGGCCUUUGGUUUUUUGCAGUGUUGACGCGGUUGCCUCUUGAAUACGGAAGAUUAUUUACCAAGAUGACUUGAUUUACCGGGAUUUGAAAAAUUAUGCAUCUUGUUGGAUGUGAUACAUCUUUGUUGAGUGCUUAAAUUUGUUCCACAUUGAUUAACAAUAAUUAGUAUAUUGACUUUAGUAUAUAGGAUGGGUCAUUUUACGUAAUAUUUUGAGUUGAAUUACCUGCGUGAGUGUGACAAUACAUUUAAUUUUAUUAAAUUAGUAUAUAGUACUUGCAAGAAGAAUCAAUUAAGGGCGGACAUACACAUUAGAAAGUUUUAAAUGCAAAGCAAUAAGAUGCAAAGGGAUGCAAAGGGAUGCAAAUAUAAUUAAGUUUGGGACUGCAUACUAAUGAUGAGAAUUUAGCAAAUACAUUGAGAGUAACAAAUAAAGAAUUUUCUAAAUUAGUCAGGACCCAAUGUAGUCUUCAAAUAUUAUAUAGUUUAAUAUACCAAAAAAAAAAUUUCUUCCGACAUAGAAACUCUCAUAUCUACUUUAUAACCAAGUCAAAUUAAUAAAAAAAUGUAAUCUCUAAGAUAUCCUUCUCCAAUCAGAUCAAUUUCAAUGGUACAUCUUGGGUAUUCCUCGCUUUUGAAUAUUUUUUUAAUACUUUCAGUAAUUAUUUACUAAGAUCGAACUUAACAGACUGUAAUAAAUGAAUAUUAACAAUAUCGCUUUCGACUAGGUUAGGUACUCUUAAUGUGAAAGUGUGUUCAAUCAUUCAUUAGAGUUUUGGAGUUAUUUAUUUAUUUAUAUUUUUAGCAUAGUUUUAAUUAGUAGGUUAUGGUAAAGGCUAAUCUAAACACCGUAAGUACAAGCUAUGCGCAAUUAUCUUUUUGAAAACAAGUAGAAAAGGACACCAUAUGGCGUCAAGCUUCAAGAGUCAAAUCCCACCGGUGAAUAAAUUGUUAAAAGGACAAACCAUUUUUUUCAUCAAAAAGAACAAAAAGACCUGACUUGGUUAGCCAAUCACCAUCUGUUCUCCAUUCUGAUAUCUCAGUAUUCAGAAUCAUCUGCUCAAUUAUAUAGUCAAGUUGAGCAUCUUACCGACAAAAAAACUCAUUAAAUAAACGAAAGAUUAAAAAGAAAUUAGGACUCAAAUUAAAGCUAAGAUAACCAAACAAGUCAGACUCAUAAAAUUGUUUCCUUGGUGUGCGAAACUGCUUUUUAUUUUUAAUUAUAACAUUAUGCCAACUGGGCUGUCUUAGGCAUUUUCUUAAAUAUUGCACUUGAACUCGAUGCUGCGUAUAUGAUAUGAUUCGGCCAAUUUGAUCCUUAAAAUGAUAUUUGCUAUUUAAAAAAAAAGAAAAAAAGAAAGAAAGACAGAAAAAGAAACCCCCCAUAUUCUUCACAUGGUUUUGCUGCUAUAUGUUCGUUGUUUGCACACAAAAUGCUACUAACAAGCAAACCUAACACAAGAUUUUAUCGCAUAAGCCUUUCAUUGACAGAUCAAAUCAUUUUCUUACUUCAACCAAAUUUCAUAAAUAUUAACUUUGAGAACCAUACAUAGGCCUUUCAUUGACAGAUCAAAUCAUUUCCUUACGUCAACCAAAUUUCAUAAAUAUCUACUUUAGAAACCAAACUGAUACAAACAAGAGUUCUAGUUACAUUCGAACUUAAUAAAAAUAAAAACUAAUUUUCACAAAAGAUGGUGAUUAAAUCCCAUCUUCGUAAGGAAUUGAAGUUGAAUCCAGCCACUCCUGACCAUUAAUUAACUGUGAUACCGUAAAAGCAUAUGCAUCAGACUCAUCCAUGACAUGAUACCCGGGCCAAGUGACCCGAUUAUCGGUCCCGGAACCUGGACCGUAAUUAUUGAACUCUCCGUAGUACAAUGUGUCCAAGCCUUGAUCACCUGACCACUCGCUCCACCCGGCUGGCUCAAUAAAGUCAUCAAUGUAGGACUCAAGAAAAACUGUUGUUGAGUAGAUCCUCAAGGGCCUGCCUAGGUAACUUUUAACACUUGCAGAAUUUGCAUACAGAUCUUCAGUAGCCAAAAUUGAACAAUUUUGGAUUGAGAUUCCAGUGUUUUCAUUCGGGUCGUCUUUUAAUUGUGCUGUGAUGACUGUGAAUUGCCCUGGCAAUGGCAGUCUAGAUACGAUGUUACAUGCCUGGAGAACCACUGCAGCGUUACCAAAUAUGUAGUCUAUGGUUCCGUAUACGUCGCACUCUCGAUAAAACUGACGAAAUGAGUGUACAUAUAACGUAUCUUGGUAACCAGAGAAGCUGCAUCUGAACAAGGCUGCAAAAUCUGCAUUCACUCUUAAGGCAACCGCUUGGUACUUCUCUGGCCCUGCCUUGUUCUCAAUUGUUAGGUCCCGUGCCAGAAACCGGUCUCCGGACACAGCUGCAAUUAACAAGUUUACAUUGAGAUAUUUUAAAGAUUAGUGCUAACAACACAUUCAGCACUAGUAGAAAUUUUUUCAUUUUAUCUCUAAAGUUCAAAUAUUAGUGGAUUUAUCUCUAAAGUUCAAAUAUUAAUGGAAAAAAAGGCACGAUGCUCUAAAAAGUGUUUUGAAAAUUACCUACUGUUGCAGAUCUGAAAGUGGUCCAGCCAUCGCCCACACUUCUGCUUCCGGUGAUGAUAGUUGAAUCUUUACCGCCUCCAAGCAGAAAAAUGUUGGUCUUAUAGCUUGGAAUUUCCAAAUUCUCCUCAUAAACCCCUUGUUUGAUAUUGAUGACUACUCUAUCAUCGCUGUUAUUGGGAGCAAAAUUUAUCGCAUCAGUGAUGGUAGUGAAAUCUCCUGUUCCAUCGGCAGCCACAGUCAGCACUUGACUCUGGUCAUACUCAUUAUCGUCAUCGGAGCUCUGCAGAAUCCGGCGAUCUUUUCUUGACAACCAUUCUGGAAAUCCCAUUAGGCGGCGGCGGUGUUUGUUGCCUUCUGUCGUAGCUGGCUUUGGAAGUGCUGACAGGGAGUUGCUCACAUACCUGUAAGUACUUGUUAUAGAGUUCACUAAAGGUUGCUUCAAAGAACCUGAAGCAGAGUUAAGGCUCUCUAAACAAGUAUUCUUAUUUGUUAGAGCUGCACUGAGAUAUGCUCUUGCAUCGGAUAAGGAUUUAGCAUCAUGAGCUGCACGGAUUUUUGGGAGAGAUUUCUGUAAAGCGGAUAAUGUGAUUUGGUGAAGUUCUUUACAAUCUUGGAUUGUGCCUCUCUGUUUCUCGACAAUAUUAGAGCUGCCUGCACCGGACAAUAGAUUGGUGACCUUCCCGGCUUCGGAUAUGGCCAUUUGGAGAGUUUGAAGCAAGAAGUUGAUGAUGUUUGGACUGAUAUUGAUUGAUAUAGAGAGCUUCAAUGACUCAAAACAAGCAUCUGGGUGCGGAGUGCUUUUGCAAAAAUUGCUUAUUGAAGAUAUGUUGGUGUGUAGAGAAGUUGUUGAAGGAGUGCUUAGAGUAGCUGUGAUGGAGAUGGAGAUUGUGAAGAGGAGCAAGGUGAGUUUCAGAAAGGAGGAAGCAGCCAUGACAGCCGAUAUGAAGAAGGCAGAGUGAAUUGAUUCACUAUAUUUAAAAUGUUGAAGAUAAGAGUGGCUAAUCGCUGAUUGUUCUUAAAUAAUGUUUUGGGGGUGGAGGGG
rnacentral:lncRNA from 1 species